AAGACUAUAGACCUGCGGAGUACCUGCGGAGGGAUCAUUAGUGAACGCCCUCACGGGCUUAUAACUAUUCCAAACCUCUGUGAACCGUGCCCUUCGGGGCUAUUUUACAAACAUGGUGUAAUGAACGUCAUAUAUCAUAACAAAACAAAACUUUCAACAAUGGAUCUCU
rnacentral:misc_RNA from 1 species